GACUUCCCUGUCUUCUGGGCAGGAUGGGGAGGGGUGGGUGAGUGGACUUCACCCCCCCACACACACACUCCCUGGGCCCCUCCAGCUCCCUAGUUCAUGUGCAGGUUUUAUUGGAGUAAGUGGAGCAUUAAGAAUGUCCCAGAUGGAAAAAAUUCAAGCAGGGGAGAGAAUAAGCCAAAGACUACUCUCCAAUUGGGCCCAGAGAGACAGGGGCCAUGAAGAGGAACUGAUGUCCAUCCCUGACCUCCUGACCAAGCUGAAGACUCUACACCCUCAGACCCAGGGAGCUCCCGUCUGCAGGAAGAGCUUAGGAAAUAACCAGUUUUCGGCGGACACAACAUCUUUGUUUGUAUGUGGUGCUGAGGAUCGAACCCGGGCCGCAUGCAUGCCAGACCAGUGACUAAUCCCUACCACCCCAAGUACCUGAUGUGCCUUGGUCCAGAGCCUGGUUCCAUUGCUCCAGAAAAGGAGCCUCUAAUCUCAGUGACGUGGAGGAUGAGGAGGGCUACAGUCUCCCUGUGCAGCAGGUCCUUCUGCCAUGAUGCCCUGCCUCGCCUCCUGCCCAGAGCAAUGGAAUCAGCCAACCAUGGACGGAACCUCCGGAACCAUGAGCCCCAAAUAAACUUUUCUUCCUCUAA